GGCUGCAGUCGACGAAUCUCACCGGUGUAGCAAUACAUUGGUGGGGGAAGUGGCGAAAGGGGCAGUAAUGCGUGGGUAACCUACCCCGGGGAUGGGCAUAGCUGUUCUAACGAGCAGGUAAUUCCCAGCGAUUCGGCGAGGGGGCAUCUUCUUGCCGGGAAAUGAGUUUCGCCUCGGGAGGGGCUCACGUGCUAUUAGCUUGUUGGCGGGGUAACGGCCCACCAAGGCAAAGAUGGCUAGCGGGUGUGAGAGCACGACCCGCGCCACUGGCACUGAGACACUGGCCAGACACCUACGGGUGGCUGCAGUCGAGGAUCUUCGUCAAUGGGCGCAAGCCUGAACGAGCGACGCCGCGUGUGCGAUGAAGGCCUUCGGGUUGUAAAGCACUGUCGAGGGGGAGAAAGCCGAAAGGUUGAUCUAUCCCUGGAGGAAGCACGGGCUAAGUUCGUGCCAGCAGCCGCGGUAAGACGAACCGUGCGAACGUUGUUCGGAAUCACUGGGCUUAAAGGGCGCGUAGGCGGCCUGCAUGGUCGGGGGUGAAAUCCCGCAGCUCAACUGCGGAAGUGCCUUCGAUACCGGCGGGCUCGAGGAAGGUAGGGGUGCGCGGAACUUCUGGUGGAGCGGUGAAAUGCGUUGAUAUCAGAAGGAACGCCGGCGGCGAAAGCGGCGCACUGGACCUUUUCUGACGCUGAUGCGCGAAAGCCAGGGGAGCAAACGGAAUUAGAUACCCCGGUAGUCCUGGCCCUAAACGAUGGGUACUAGGUCGUGGGCCGGUCAUGGGCUCACAACCGAAGCAAAAGUGUUAAGUACCCCGCCUGGGGAGUAUGGUCCCAAGGCUGAAACUCAAAGGA
rnacentral:rRNA from 1 species